UGUCAACUGUAGGUCAACCAUGUUCUUCAAGAUGUUCAAUUGACUGACCAGAAGUGUUUUAAGCAGUUUGUUUCUCAAAGUGAGGCAAGAAUGGAGAAUCGAUUAAGAGGCAGGGACAUAGCAUUGCAGCUGCAAGGAUGGAUGUAAAGCUCAAUGUUGCUGGUCGGAUCUCUGAAAAAAUGGGUGGUGUCAGUUAAGGAACUGAACACCAAGAAGAUUCUUGUACGAGAUGUGGAGAUAGUUAAUAGCUCAGACCAUACAUUUGAUGUGCUGCGAUCUUUUGUGGUACGAGAUGUGGAGACACUUACUAGCUCAGACCAUACAUUUGAUGUGCUGCGAUCUUUCGUGGUACGAGAUGUGGAGACACUUACUAGCUCAGACCAUACAACCCCCGUUCUUGACACCAUCCCAAUUUUCAGGAACGUGUUCUCUUCCCUUUUUACUUUUCGUUCCCUUGUUUGAGUGGGUUUCUGUGCAUAGAUUGAGGACAAUGCAUCAUGCAUGUGCUUGUUGUGGGUAGAGGUAUGUUGUUCUUUGUGGUAGUGAUUGGUUUUUGAGAACGUGGUUGGAUAGUCAUUGUAGCACGAUUCUUGCGAAAUUGGUUGUGUUGCUGGAAAUCUGAAAGUUGAAAUUCGUAUUAAUGUGUGGAAUGUGGAUGUGUGGGAUGUGAAAUUUUUUGUUUGGUGGCUGAAAAGUUUUAUUGAACACCAACUUGUUAAUGAAGUUAGUGUGUCUUGAGAAAAAUAUGUGAAUUAUCUUGUGGUAGUUGCUGAAUUUUCAGAUUGUCAUCUUGUGAUAUCCCUUAGAUUAAUAGGAAUUUUGGUUUAAGUCGAGAUAAGUAAGAGAAACGGAUGCUUGU